GUGUCAGCAGCCGCGGUAAUACGAAGGGGGCUAGCGUUGUUCGGAUUUACUGGGCGUAAAGCGCACGUAGGCGGAUUGGUCAGUUAGGGGUGAAAUCCCAGAGCUCAACUCUGGAACUGCCUUUAAUACUGCCAGUCUAGAGUCCGGAAGAGGUGAGUGGAACUCCUAGUGUAGAGGUGGAAUUCGUAGAUAUUAGGAAGAACACCAGUGGCGAAGGCGGCUCACUGGUCCGGUACUGACGCUGAGGUGCGAAAGCGUGGGGAGCAAACAGGAUUAGAAACCCGCGUAGUCC
rnacentral:rRNA from 1 species